AACGAACGCUGGCGGCAUGCCUAACACAUGCAAGUCGAACGAGACCUUCGGGUCUAGUGGCGCACGGGUGCGUAACGCGUGGGAAUCUGCCCUUGGGUUCGGAAUAACAGCGAGAAAUUGCUGCUAAUACCGGAUGAUGACGUAAGUCCAAAGAUUUAUCGCCCAAGGAUGAGCCCGCGUAGGAUUAGCUAGUUGGUGAGGUAAAGGCUCACCAAGGCGACGAUCCUUAGCUGGUCUGAGAGGAUGAUCAGCCACACUGGGACUGAGACACGGCCCAGACUCCUACGGGAGGCAGCAGUGGGGAAUAUUGGACAAUGGGCGAAAGCCUGAUCCAGCAAUGCCGCGUGAGUGAUGAAGGCCUUAGGGUUGUAAAGCUCUUUUACUGGGGGAUGAUAAUGACAGUACCCAGAGAAUAAGCUCCGGCUAACUCCGUGCCAGCAGCCGCGGUAAU
rnacentral:rRNA from 1 species